rnacentral:rRNA from 1 species
GACGAACGCUGGCGGCGUGCUUAACACAUGCGAGUCGAACGGAAAGGCCCUGCUUGCCGGGUACUCGAGUGGCGAACGGGUGAGUAACACGUGGGUGAUCUGCCCUGCACUUCGGGAUAAGCUUGGGAAACUGGGUCUAAUACCGGAUAGGAACCAUCUUUAGUGUGGUGGUUGGAAAGUUUUUUCGGUGUAGGAUGAGCUCGCGGCCUAUCAGCUUGUUGGUGGGGUAAUGGCCUACCAAGGCGGCGACGGGUAGCCGGCCUGAGAGGGUGUACGGCCACAUUGGGACUGAGAUACGGCCCAGACUCCGACGGGAGGCAGCAGUGGGGAAUAUUGCACAAUGGGCGCAAGCCUGAUGCAGCGACGCCGCGUGGGGGAUGAAGGCCUUCGGGUUGGAAACUCCUUUCGCUAGGGACGAAGCUUUUUGUGACGGUACCUAGAUAAGAAGCACCGGCUAACUACGUG